rnacentral:rRNA from 1 species
UACGUAGGGACCGAGCGUUGUCCGGAUUCAUUGGGCGUAAAGAGCUUGUAGGCGGUUUGUCGCGUCUGCUGUGAAAAUCCGGGGCUCAACCCCGGACUUGCAGUGGGUACGGGCAGACUGGAGUGUGGUAGGGGAGACUGGAAUUCCUGGUGUAGCGGUGGAAUGCGCAGAUAUCAGGAGGAACACCGAUGGCGAAGGCAGGUCUCUGGGCCACUACUGACGCUGAGACGCGAAAGCGUGGGGAGCGAACAGG